UCCCUGGUGGCUCAGAGGGUAAAGCAUCUGCCUGCAAUGCAGGAGACCCAGGUUCGAUUCCUGGGUUGGGAA
rnacentral:tRNA from 1 species